AAUGCAUUCAGAUCAACCAAGAAAUGCAGUUUUGGUAACUGAAGUGUUGAAAAUUGGAGUAGAGUUGAGGGAUUGGGCAAAGAGAGAUGAGUUGGUGAGUUCAGUUGCAGUUGCAGAAUGUGUUAAGAGAUUGAUGGAUUCUGCAGAAGGAGAUGAGAUGAGACAGAGGGUUAUGGAGUUGAGUAAAUCAGUGGUGGAUGGUGGUGGCAGUGGCAGAGAGAUGGCUUCUUUCAUUGCCCAUAUUACGAGAUAAUAAAAGACGAUUUUAACUAGAUUUUAUUCCUUUUAAACGAUUGUAGUGAGUUUGUUGUGCCAACUUGAAGUGGCUAUUGAUGGGCUACAUUUAUAAAGAAGUUCAGUGUGUUACUAUAA
rnacentral:misc_RNA from 1 species